UAGGAAUUACUAUUUUAAGAAAGUGUGAGAAAAUAUUAAGGUAAAAAGGUUAAAAUAAUAUUAUUUUCGUUUCCAAAACGCGUGUUCAACAGUUUCUCACACAAAAACUGAGAUUGUCUUCGAAAGGGGGAAUUAAUAUCACUUUAAACAAGAUCAGGUGUGUAAUAGGUCAUCGAGAUAGUUAAAGUGUGUAACUGACUUUUCGGGACAAGUUUAGGG
rnacentral:lncRNA from 1 species